rnacentral:rRNA from 1 species
UACGAAGGGGGCUGGCGUUGCUCGGAAUUACUGGGCGUAAAGCGCACGUAGGCGGAUCUUUAAGUCAGGGGUGAAAUCCUGGAGCUCAACUCCAGAACUGCCUUUGAUACUGAGGAUCUUGAGUUCGGGAGAGGUGAGUGGAACUGCGAGUGUAGAGGUGAAAUUCGUAGAUAUUCGCAAGAACACCAGUGGCGAAGGCGGCUCACUGGCCCGAUACUGACGCUGGAGGUGACGCGAAGCGGAUGGGGCAAACAGGG